rnacentral:rRNA from 1 species
UACGUAGGCAGCAAGCGUUGUUCGGAAUUACUGGGCGUAAAGAGUGUGUAGGCGGUGCUCUAAGUUCGGUGUGAAAUCUCCCGGCUUAACUGGGAGGGUGCGCCGGAAACUGGAGUGCUCGAGCGUGGGAGAGGAAAGCGGAAUUCCUGGUGUAGCGGUGAAAUGCGUAGAUAUCAGGAGGAACACCUGUGGUGUAGACAGCUUUCUGGACCAUAGCUGACGCUGAGACACGAAAGCGUGGGUAGCAAACAGG